rnacentral:piRNA from 1 species
UGCUGGCUGCUGGGUGGAGCAUGUAGGG